UUGAGUGAUGCCUUUAGCAGUAAGUGGCCUCUCUGUUGCAACUGUUCAUCAUCAAUCAGAGCUUGUCAUGUAGAGCACAACUAGAUCUGAAAACUGUGCGUGUCUGCAUCAACGCAGGACCACUUCUCAUACUUGCCUGGAACAGGACAAAGCAUGGUCACAGCUGAAGUAAAAA